GGACAGAUAGCUCAGUGGUAGAGCGAAGGAUUGCAGUUCCUCUGCUAAAUAUCCUUAGGUCGCGUGUUCGAUCCACGCUCGGUCCU